AUGCAAACAGUGCAAGUUGAUAAAGAUAUCCAAGUCCGUGUGCAUUAUGCUGUCCAUGUUCGUUUCUGAACUAUCCUAUUUCUUCCUCUUCCUUUUAGGAAAUGCAAACUUUCGGAUGCAAGUUUAUGGUUGAUGUAAUUUGAUGCUCUCUUUAAAGUUCUGCCCAAAUUUUAGCAUUUUCAUCGUUCUUAAUUUUGGAAGUAUCAAACAGAUUUUUCUUUGGGUGUGUGUGGUUCCUCCGUCUUGAGGAUACUUAUAAAUUAACUCACUGCUCUGAAGAAGAUAAUUCAUUGACCACCCGUGAUCAUCCAAUUUACUUGGCUUGUGUGGUUUUCAGCAACAGUACCGCUAUUAGCAUCCUCAGCGUCAUCAGCAGGUCUCAUCUUCUGGAUCAACAAAGAGUUGACUGUGGUAGCCUGUUCGAAAAUACUAAUGUUUCUUGUGGUUGUUGGUGAUACUGGAGGGAAAUUCUGUCUUGGAAACCGUACACUGGGUGUGAAUCUUCUAGCUGCACUUUCUUUGCCUUUAAAAAAAAAAUCCAAGUGGUUUUUUCCUCAUAGAGGAGAAGGGUUGAGGUUUACAGAGUAUGUUAUUUGAACGAAUUUGAACGCUCAGUUAUAACUUCUAUCAAAAUUUAUCUCCCUGAAACUUUUCAUUGAAUAGCUCUUUUCUCUUAUUUGAUUGCUUGAAGCACUAUGCUAUCGUGUCAAACCUCAACUCCGGGGUACCUAGGUAAAAACAGAUGUUGUUUGAUGAAUCGUUAACAAGAUUGCUGAAGCAGCUUGCACCAUAUCACACUUUCCACUGGAAUGAAUCCCUACCUCGCUAGUUUGCAUUAAAUGCACUCAAUUGGGGAACAUAAAAGGUUUUCUUCUUCUUGAGAAAGACACAAAGAGUUUGUGCGUAUGGAAAAUAAAAGACAUUAAGAGGUGUUAAUCUAGAACAGUGAGCUUGGAGCCAGCAUCUAAUGAUUGUGCUACUUAGAUGCAUAAAUUCAGAGGUGUAGAGGUAAGUUCAUGCUGUUCUGCUCAAUGCUUAUUGUCAAGGAGAAUAUUAGAUCUUGAGGGAGCCUUCUUAGUAGAUGGAAUGGAAUGAGAGUUGAGAUGCUAACUAUUUUCGGGGUGUUAUUUCUAUCCUAAAAAAGGCUCAUCUUUACUGGAAAAUUGUUGGUGGCUGGCUCACCUUGCCUGCACAGCCACAAACUAGGUUUUCAAACAGUCUUUGUGAAGUCUCAAAAUACGAGUUUAGCUCCCCUUCCAUGAUUCUGAUACGAUCCUUGCUAUGUGUGAAAAGAAAUGAGAGUGUUCAAUUGUAUUGGGAUACACUUUUCAGAUCAGAAUCUCCAAAUCUGAGGAUUGUGAAAUAGAGAAGAAGAAGAAUGAGCAGGAAAAGAAAAAACAAUGAGCAGAUGAGGAUACUCCCACUUCCGCCUUGCAGAAUGCAGCACAGGCCUCCUGCAGACGAUCUCCUUGUUCCCCUCCCCCCCCCCCCUCCUCCUCCUGAGUGAGAGACCUUAUUUAUAGUCUCUAGUAAUAAGGGAGGUGAAGUUACCUCCCUAAUCAGUUAUCUAGUUCUUGAACUGACUGUUUUUCUCUUUUUUUUUCCUUCUAACAUAUAUGACUAAGGGAACUGUAUCAGAUUCUUACGUAGGCUGAUUUGGGACCACUGUCAAAAUUUCUAAUAUAGAAUACCUAAACUAAUAAUUUGUGAGAAAAGUCAACAAUUGACUCCUAAAUUCAAAAAUCAAACCUGUCUUGUUCUCCUUGUCAGAAAGCUACAAUCAUGCUGCUCCCAUGAAGGUGAUAUUCUCGAAGGCCACUGGGCCUUAUAGUCACAAGGGUAAAUGGGUCCAGGUCCAGUGUACGACCCCACCUACUUAAGGGGGGAAUUGGGGAGGUUAGGGCAUCUUUUGGCUAAGUUGGACUUGUGGAGAGUUGAGGGCUCUCGAACUCCCUCUUGGCAGCUAGGGUUUCCUGGUCGCCAUCAUUCUCUUAUUCCCCAUUCUCUCUCACCCUAUCUCUCUAUUCCUCUCCUUGCCGUUGUGAAGAUUUAGGGCCCUAUAUAUUCCCUUGGGGAUGCUGCAGUAAGGCUGCAUGGUGAGCACUAAUCAAUUCUAUUAGGCUGGGUUAAUGUCAACCAUGUUGUAUAUGGAUAAGUGUACCAUGGAUGUACCAAGGAGCCUUUUAUUGCUGAUUCAUUCAAGGAUUUGACACUAUUUAGCCACAAUAGCCAAUUUCACAAAAGGGAGAAAUUCUGAUGUACAUUGGGAGCUGCUAGGGUAGUCAAGAAAACUAAGACAAGAAUGAUCGGAUCCCCUGUACUUUGACUUCAGAUAUUUUUUACAGUUUCUAAAGCAUGUUGAGAUGCUUUGGGGCUGGGGAUUCGAGGUGGUUUAAGCCAAAAGGAUCAAUCCAUUGUAUUCUUUAGUGAAAAGCUAAAUGGUGUCAAGAUAGAAUUCCUCAUCCAUGACAAAGGAUUGGAUUCCAUGGUCCUAGGCCUGUCUUAUUGGAGGCAUUAUUUCUUGCCAUAAGAAUCUCUGUUGUAUUCCGACCACAAUGAACUAUUUUUUGAUCGUUCUCAUGAAAAUUGAACCUUUCUAGAGUAUUGAGUGUCUGAUGCCUUUUUUAGAGUAAGUUUAGUCUAUUGUUUGUUGGAACCAUGGUUUACUGAUGAUAAGAAUUAAAAGUUUAAUUGGCUUUUAUUAAAAAUCUCUGAAAAUACUUUAUUGAUUGUAAAUUAAAUGUUUUAAUUGGUAGACUUUAAAUAGUAUAAUUCUGUGUAAAGUUUAAAAAUCUUAUCGCCUGAUUUCAGGAUGGCUAGUUUAUACUGCACACUAGUUGGAAUGAUGAUCCUAAUACCGAAUUCAGGAUGUCUUUUAUAGAUUGCGGAUUAAAAAUUUUAAUUCUUAAACUAGUUUGCUAAAUUUGGUUAGAUUUCUUAGGUGGGGCAUUGGAGUGCUUUAUUCACUCUGUACAACACUAGUUGCAAGAUUGAUUCGAACAUUGAAUUCUAGAAUAGUUUUAUUGAUCGUGUAUUUAAAUUUUAAAUAUUAUAUCAGUUGUCUGAAGUCGAUUACACUGUUCAGUUGGCAAACUUUACACAAUUUGAUAUAUUGUUCAUAGUAUUCUAAACAGUAUAUAUGUGCGCACAGUUCCCUUCAGCCCAUCAGAAUUUAAGCAUCUUAAUUUAUAAUUUACAGUACAGAAGUAAUAAGAUAUUUUUUGACAAAUCUAGCAAUCAUAGUCAUGGUAAAUUAAGGUUUAGUAGUUUAACUGAUAAAUGAUCCCGUGCAUGAAAGAGCAACUGAAAAUUUAACAUCUGAUCACUCAAUAAAUUUUAGAUGUAAAUUUUGGUGCCAAGUUUGAGCAUACACUCAUUGAAAGCUGUUUAAAUGGUGAAGACAUUGCAAACAAAGUCAAAAAAUUCAAUUUGAUGUAAGAUGAUUUUAUACAAUCAAUGAAUUUUUUUCGUAAGUCAUACUUUGCAUAUUGCUAUGACAACUAACGUUCUGAUUUCUAGAUAUUAAUAGCCAUUGUGAAUGACUAUCAGAUGCGCCGAAAGUCACUCUGUAAAAUGAGGACUUGGCCUCACACCAAAUGUGGAGAGGGUGUGCCACAACACUCACAUUGAUCCUUCAGUCCUUCCUGAGGAGUUUGCUAGUAUUUAUGAGAGUCUGGA
rnacentral:lncRNA from 1 species